GUGCUCACUUCGGCAGCACACAUACUAAAAUUGGAACAGUACAGAGAAGAUUAGCAUGGCCCUGAGCAAGGAUGACAUGCAAAUUCGUGAAGUAUUGCGUAGUUUU